rnacentral:rRNA from 2 species
CGGCCGCAGUACUCUGACUGUGCAAAGGUAGCAUAAUCAAUUGGCUUUUAAUUGGAGUCUAGUAUGAAUGGAUUUACGUAAAAGUUCUGUCUCAACAAAAUUUUUUUUAAAUUUUUUAAAAGGUGAAAAAACCUUUAGUAUCUAAAAGACGAGAAGACCCUAAGAAUUUUAAAAAAAUUAAUCUAUCUUUUUUGCUGGGGCGGCAACGGAUCAUGAAACAUCCGUAUAAUCGAGGUUUUCGUAUUAUAAAUUACCUUAGGGAUAACAGCACAAUUGUUACCUCGAUGUUGGACUAGGAACCUUAAGGUUAGAUACUCUAAAGGUGAGU